rnacentral:rRNA from 1 species
CCUACGGGAGGCAGCAGUGGGGGAUAUUGCACAAUGGGGGAAACCCUGAUGCAGCGACGCCGCGUGGGUGAAGAAGCGCCUCGGCGCGUAAAGCCCUGUCAGCAGGGAAGACAAUGACGGUACCUGAAGAAGAAGCCCCGGCUAACUACGUGCCGGCAGCCGCGGUAAUACGUAGGGGGCAAGCGUUCUCCGGAUUUACUGGGUGUAAAGGGGGCGCAGACGGCCCCCCAAGCCAGGAGUGAAAGCCCGGGGCCCAACCCCGGGACUGCUCUUGGAACUGCGUGGCUAGAGUGCAGGAGGGGCAGGCGGAAUUCCUGGGGUAGCGGUGAAAUGCGUAGAUAUCAGGAGGAACACCGGUGGCGAAGGCGGCCUGCUGGACUGCAACUGACGUUGAGGCCCGAAAGCGUGGGGAGCAAACAGGAUUAGAUACCCUUGUAGUC